CUUGAAGACGACAAGGUAGAUAGGGCGGAGGUGGAAGUGCAGUAAUGUAUGGAGCUGACCGCAACUAAUCGGUCGAGGGCAUGACCAAA
rnacentral:rRNA from 1 species